AUUGAACGCUGGCGGCAUGCUUUACACAUGCAAGUCGAACGGCAGCACGGGUGCUUGCACCUGGUGGCGAGUGGCGGACGGGUGAGUAAUACAUCGGAACGUGUCCUGAAGUGGGGGAUAACGCAUCGAAAGAUGUGCUAAUACCGCAUAUACUCUGAGGAGUAAAGUAGGGGAUCGAAAGACCUUAUGCUUUUGGAGCGGCCGAUGUCUGAUUAGCUAGUUGGUGGGGUAAUUGCCCACCAAGGCGACGAUCAGUAGUUGGUCUGAGAGGACGACCAGCCACACUGGGACUGAGACACGGCCCAGACUCCUACGGGAGGCAGCAGUGGGGAAUUUUGGACAAUGGGCGCAAGCCUGAUCCAGCAAUGCCGCGUGAGUGAAGAAGGCCUCGGUGUAAGACUCUUCUAGUGUAGAAGAAAGAAUUAGUAACUAAUAAUUAACUAGUUAC
rnacentral:rRNA from 1 species